rnacentral:lncRNA from 13 species
UUAUCACUUAGCUCGUAGUUAUAAGUGAGAACAUGUGAUAUUUGGUUUUCUGUUUCUGUUCUAGUUCACUUAGGAUAUUGCCCUCCAGCGCCAUCCAUGUUCCUGCAAAAGACAUGAUCUCAUUUUUUCUUAAUUGCUGCAUUGAUACAGCAAUUGUGUCUUUGGACUGUCACUCCAAGACUGUGUGAACUCUAGCCACCUUCUUGGAUUCCCUGAGCUCUCGUAUGGCGAAUGAAGGAAGCCAACAAGGA